GCCACAGCGACAUCUGACAUGGGGUUGUGAGCCUGGAGCCUAUCCCAGAGAAAUUGGGGCACAAGGUGGAGGACACCCUGGAUGUGGUGCCAACCCAUCACAAGGCACAACUGCAUACACAGUCACACACUACAGACAAUUUGGAAACGCCAAUCAGCCUACAAGGCAUGUCUUUAGACUAGGGGAGGAAACUGGAGUACUGGGAGAAAAUCCCUGAAGCACAGGGAGAACAUGCAAAAACUCCACACACACACAGGGCGGAGGCGUUAUUCGAACCCCAACCCCGGAAGUGCGAGGUAAGUAUACUAACCACUAAACCCUACCUGACAUCUUAUAGUUUAAAAAAUAAUAAUAAAUCAAAAUAUAAAACUGGCA
ensembl:lncRNA